rnacentral:misc_RNA from 1 species
GACUGUGGACAUUUCAGAUAUAUUUAUAACUUUAAGAUAACAAUUAUUUAUGAAAAAAUAUGAUGAUUGUGUUUAACCGUGUUCGAAUAAGUUUAAUUGAAUCAUUUCUCAUUUGUUUCGAGUAAGAAGCGUACCUAUGUCAAUGGAAAGAAACAGCAACAUUAUGAACAUUAAUAAACAAGAAAGUUCAUCUGUCCAGGAUGGAGCGGUUCAAGUGGUUCAACAACUAUUGCCAAUAAAAUUAGAAUCAGAAAAGAAGAAAAAAAAAAGGUUUUCCAAAUAUAAUGAUUUGGGAGACGUUGGAGGCCGCAACCACCACAACCGCAACCGCUACCACCACCACCACUGUUACCGCUGUCACCACCACAAACGAUGAAGACAUUUUCGUAUAGUAAAUGUAUACCUAAUAAUUAAUAACUACAAUAUGAAAUGAGUAGAAAAAUAUUGUAUAAUAGGCAUAUUUUUGACAACUUAUCACUGCCAUAAACUAAGACGAGACUUCUCGUCCUCGUCACCUAGUACUGAUUUCUGAUGUGCAUUUUUUUUUUUUUUUGUAAACAACAUGUGAAUAAUGAAAUGUGAAAUGUGUUCAAUAGUUUUACAUAUUUAAAUCUAUUUUAUUUAUAUGUUAAUACAAUAAUCAUUGACUUAAG